ensembl:lncRNA
AAAAAUGAAGAUGACAAAAAUGAAGAUAACAAAAAUGAAGAUGACAAAAAUGAAGGUGGAACGAGUGAGGAGGGUGUAGUAAUUCAAGUAGAUAACAAUAGUUAUAACAAAAACAAAGAUAUAACUAAACAUGGUUUUAUAGAAAAACAUAAGUUAGAAAGUAUUGUAGGAGAGAAAAAUUGUAUUUCAUCAGAGUUAAAUUUAGAUGAAUUAAAAAAAGAAAAAGUAAAUAAUGUUGAAUCAAAAAAGAAACCAAAAAAGAGUUCAAAUAAAUUAUUAUCUACUGAUCAAAUAAAUGAACAGAACAAUAAAUCAAAUAAUGUAGUAACAAAAAGUAGUACGAAUAAUACAAAAGAAAUAAAAUUAAAUUUAAAAAAUACAGUUUUAUCAGUAGAAGAAAAAAAUGAAUGUUUUAUAUUAUGUAUAUAUUCUUUUAUUAGUCAAUUAUAUGAUUAUAUAAACUGUCCAGAAGAAGCUUUAAGUUUGUUAGAGGAUUGUAUGAACAUAAUUAAAUAUAAUGUAAACCUACCUUUAAAAUAUGAAUUAAUUUUUAUCAAAGGAUUAAUAUAUAAAAGAAAUGGUAACUAUGUAGAAGCAUAUAAAUGUUUGGAACAAUGUAGAAAAAAUAAUAUAGGUGAUAGAUAUAUUAAUUCAAAAACAAUUAAGACAUGUUUAAAGUGUGGUUUUGUAAAUGAAGCAAAAGAACUUGCAAGUAUUUUCACUAAUCCAUUAGAUAAUAACUUUUUAAAAAAUAUAAAUGAUACACAAUGUUUUUGGUUAGAAUAUCAGUUAGCAUUAGGUCAUUUUAAUCAUCAUCCAAAUAUUCAUUUGAAAAAGAAUAUAAAUUGGAAACAGUUAUUCAUAUAUAAUUUCAAUGAAGAUGUAAAAAAUAAAAACGACACAAAAACAAAUGUUAACAAUGUAAACGUAAUAAAUGAUAAUAGUUCUGUUAAUAAAAACUUAUUAAAUGAUAAAGAAAAAAAACCUAAUAACAGUGAUAAACAGUCACAAAAUAAUUACGAAUUUAAUUUAAACAAAAAGAUAAUGACAGAAAAUAAUAAUAUGGGAUUAUGUUUAAAAAAUAAAUUGCAAGAUUAUAAUAAAGGAUUAUUUUAUUUACAUCGAGGACAUAAACAAUUUCUUGAUAUACAAGAGGAUCAGAUGAGUUUUUAUUUUUAUGCAUUUAGAAAAUUAUUAUUAAGAACAUAUAGACAUUUAUUAUAUAUGUGCGGACAUAUUUUUUCUAGUAGGUAUUACAGAAAGUUUGGAAAAUUAUUAAUAAGAAGUUUAUUAUAUAUCUAUGAUACAGGUCUUAUACAAAUAAACGAUUCAAAUAAAAGUAACACAAAAAAAAAAAAUAAAACUAAUAAACAAAAUGUACAGGAAGAUGUAGAAAUCUAUGAACAUAUAAAAGAGUGCCCAUUACAAAAUGCAAAAAUAUACAUGGACGCCUUUUUGUCACAACCUAAUGUUGAUAUAGCGGUUCACGUGUUGAAUUAUGAAAUUGAAAGAAGAGCAGAUAAGGACUACAACAAAAUGAUUGAUAUUAUUUUAAAAAUUAAAUCAAUAUUUCCUUAUCACAGCUACCAUUAUAAACUAGCUCCAUUGAUUUCACAUUACUUGUGCACAGUAUUUGAUGAUGACAAAAGUACAAAACAAAUGGACGAAAUUACGUUAAAGUUAAACAAGUUACUAAACUUAAACCAUACUACAUACAAUAAAAAUUUAUUAAUCAAGAUAAGGAAACAGUAUAUAGAAGAGUAUAUAAAUUUUAUGAAGAGCAAAAAUGGAGACUUAAACUAUUAUAAAUCAGCACUGGAAAUGUAUAUAAAUUGUAAUGAAAACAUAGACGACGCGCUUUUAAAAGAUAACAACUAUAUGGAUCCUGUAAAAAACAAAAUGAAAAAAUGUUUUAAAUUUUUAAAAUUUUUAAUGAAGAACGAAAAUAAAAAUCCAAAAUUGGCUGAAUUGUUAAAUCGAUUUAAAACACAAUGUAAUAAGGCAUUCCCAUUAGCAACAGCCUUUCAAUGAACUAUGUUUAUCUACCAUUAGCAACAAAUAGAAAAGUAAAAAAAAAAAAAAAAAAAAUACAGUAAAUAAACAGAUACAGUAAAUAAACA